rnacentral:misc_RNA from 1 species
AAAGAAUAUGUAACGCCCCGUUAGCAACAUCAAGAAACUGGUAAUCUACAAGUAUGACUUUUGCCUCUGAAUGUUUGAGUAAAACCGAGAUCAUUGCUGAAUCGUGACGAAUAUUGAGAGUAGAAAGAACUGCCCCAGCCAUAGGUACCGCAAAGUGUAGCUCAUAUAUUGCAGGAAUAUUUGGAGCCAAGGCAGCAACGACAUCGCCACGAGAAA